rnacentral:rRNA from 1 species
AGGACGAACGCUGGCGGCGUGCUUAACACAUGCAAGUCGAGCGGAAAGGCCCUUCGGGGUACUCGAGCGGCGAACGGGUGAGUAACACGUGAGCAACCUGCCCUUAGCUCUGGGAUAGCUCCGGGAAACCGGAAUUAAUACCGGAUACGACCUAGGCCGACAUCGGCCAUGGUGGAAAGUUUUUCGGCUAGGGAUGGACUCGCGGCCUAUCAGCUAGUUGGUGGGGUAAAGGCCUACAAGGCGACGACGGGUAG